UACGGAGGGUGCAAACGUUGCUCGGAAUCAUUGGGCGUAAAGAGCGUGUAGGCGGCCCGGUAAGUCCGCUGUAAAAAGUCAAAGGCUCAACCUUUGAAUGUCAGUGGAUACUGCCGGGGCUCGGAGUCCCGGAAGAGGCGAGUGGAAUUCCCCGGUGUAGCGGUGAAAUGCGCAGAUAUCGGGAGGAACACCAAUGGCGAAGGCAGCUCGCUGGGACGUGACUGACGCUGAGACGCGAAAGCGUGGGGAGCAAAC
rnacentral:rRNA from 1 species